GCUGGCGGCGUGCCUAAUACAUGCAAGUCGAGCGAACAGAUAAGGAGCUUGCUCCUUUGACGUUAGCGGCGGACGGGUGAGUAACACGUGGGUAACCUACCUAUAAGACUGGGAUAACUUCGGGAAACCGGAGCUAAUACCGGAUAACAUUUGGAACCGCAUGGUUCUAAAGUGAAAGAUGGUUUUGCUAUCACUUAUAGAUGGACCCGCGCCGUAUUAGCUAGUUGGUAAGGUAACGGCUUACCAAGGCGACGAUACGUAGCCGACCUGAGAGGGUGAUCGGCCACACUGGAACUGAGACACGGUCCAGACUCCUACGGGAGGCAGCAGUAGGGAAUCUUCCGCAAUGGGCGAAAGCCNGACGGAGCAACGCACCGUGAGUGAUGAAGGGUUUCGGCUCGUAAAACUCUGUUAUUAGGGAAGAACAAACGUGUAAGUAA
rnacentral:rRNA from 1 species